AGUGAACGCUGGCGGCAGGCCUAACACAUGCAAGUCGAACGGCAGCACAGUAAGAGCUUGCUCUUACGGGUGGCGAGUGGCGGACGGGUGAGGAAUACAUCGGAAUCUACUUUUUCGUGGGGGAUAACGUAGGGAAACUUACGCUAAUACCGCAUACGACCUACGGGUGAAAGCAGGGGAUCUUCGGACCUUGCGCGAUUGAAUGAGCCGAUGUCGGAUUAGCUAGUUGGCGGGGUAAAGGCCCACCAAGGCGACGAUCCGUAGCUGGUCUGAGAGGAUGAUCAGCCACACUGGAACUGAGACACGGUCCAGACUCCUACGGGAGGCAGCAGUGGGGAAUAUUGGACAAUGGGCGCAAGCCUGAUCCAGCCAUACCGCGUGGGUGAAGAAGGCCUUCGGGUUGUAAAGCCCUUUUGUUGGGAAAGAAAAGCGGCAGGUUAAUACCCCGCUGUUCUGACGGUACCCAAAGAAUAAGCACCGGCUAACUUCGUG
rnacentral:rRNA from 1 species